rnacentral:rRNA from 1 species
ACGAGUUUGAUCCUGGCUCAGAUUGAACGCUGGCGGCAUGCUUUACACAUGCAAGUCGAACGGUAACAGGCCUUCGGGUGCUGACGAGUGGCGAACGGGUGAGUAAUGCAUCGGAACGUGCCCAAUCGUGGGGGAUAACGUAGCGAAAGUUACGCUAAUACCGCAUAAGCCCUGAGGGGGAAAUGGGGGACCGCAAGGCCUCACGCGAAUGGAGCGGCCGAUGUCAGAUUAGCUAGUUGGUGGGGUAAAGGCCCACCAAGGCGACGAUCUGUAGCGGGUCUGAGAGGAUGAUCCGCCACACUGGGACUGAGACACGGCCCAGACUCCUACGGGAGGCAGCAGUGGGGAAUUUUGGACAAUGGGCGCAAGCCUGAUCCAGCCAUGCCGCGUGAGUGAAGAAGGCCUUCGGGUUGUAAAGCUCUUUCGCAAGGGAAGAAAACGGCAAGGUUAAUACCUUUGUCGGCUGACGGUACCUUGACAAGAAGCACCGGCUAACUACGUG